ACUCAAAUGAAUAGACGGGGGCUCACACAAGCGGUGGAGGAUGUUGCUCAAUUCGAAGCAACGCGAAGAACCUUACCUGGGUUUGACAUGCAGGGAUCAUCCCCAUGAAAGUGGGGGGAUUGCCUUCGGGUGUAACCUGCACAGGUGUUGCAUGGCUGUCGUCAGCUCGUGCCUUGAGGUGUUGGGUUAAGUCCCCUAACGAGCGAAACCCCUGUCGUUAGUUGCCAACGGGUCGAGCCGGGCACUCUAGCGAGACUGCCGGUGUCAAGCCGGAGGAAGGUGGGGACGACGUCAAGUCAUCAUGGCCCUUAUACCCAGGGCUGCAAACGUCCUACAAUGGCCGGUACAAAGGGAAGCAAAGCCGCGAGGCGGAGCAAAUCCCAAAAAGCCGGCCCUAGUUCGGAUUGCAGGCUGCAAUUCGCCUGCAUGAAGCUGGAAUCGCUAGUAAUCGCGGAUCAGAACGCCGCGGUGAAUAUGUUCCUGAGCCUUGUACACACCGCCCGU
rnacentral:rRNA from 1 species